ACAGGUGAUCGAUGGUCGGCAUGGACUCGAGGGGCCGAAGGGCCUGUUUCCACACUGUACCUUUGAACUAAUUAUAAUAUUGAACAAAUCAAGGCUUACCUAUCGGAUUUGAACAUGAACAAUAUUAUCCCAAGAUUGCAGAGUAUUUGAAUGACAUUUACUGCAUAAUCCCUGAGGUUAUUCUUUGUAAAGUGAAGGGCAAAGUUCAUCUCUACAAGUUUCAUUUUAUGAAUUUAAUUUGUAGUUUAUAUUUACCAUCUUGCCUUUGCUUAAUUGUACCCCGGCAAACAC